GUAUAUUUUCAAAUCACACAUGGGUUCAAAAUUUUUUACCAUUAAGUAUAAUACAAAUAACCUCUGUGACUUCCUAAAGAUUCCUAAGGAUUAACUAGAGACUGUAGACUUUAAAAAAAAUAAUAAUAUUAGGAGUUACCAUGCUGUGUAUUCUACACAGAAAAGAAAAAAAAAAAUUCAUAGUAAGUUAGCCUAAGACUUUGGAGCAGCCUACCACAAUCCAAGGUAAGGAGGUUCCCUUAUAAUAGUAUUUUCCAUCAAUAUUUUGCAGUUUGUUUUUAGAAUCAAUGUCUUCUUUCAGCCUUCAGCUUUGGGAUUUAUUUCACCAGAUCUGCCAGUUUUCCCAUUCUCCAUGUGUUUUGGUGUUUAGAAGUUCCUUAUCUUCACAGCAAUAACUUAAAACAUAGUGAGUUGCAUUCUCUGCCUAGUAGGUACCUUUUAUUCCCAUGGUUUGUGGUUGAUAAGUAGAAUUUUAAAAAAAUUAAAGAAAGAAAGUCAAUUUAGUUUUGAGUGUCUUCAAACUCAUGCUGCAUAUUUUUGUUUAAAGGAUACAGCAGAAACUCAUUUAUUCUCCAAACUGAAUUGCUGAUAUUAACACAAGGCACACUGACCAUUGCCUAAAAUAUUAAAUUUUACCUAAAAGGGGUUUUUAAAAGUUCUUUGUCUUUAUGCUGUCAUUCUGGAAAGCCUACAGAAGCAGGGAUCCUCUAUGAUUCAAUAAGUUCCUUUUUUUGUAUUCCUGGUUUCAUUUCUCUGAGCUUUGAUGUAUGUUUUACUCCAGUUGUGAGAAAUGCAUAUAUAAAAUGCCACAUGCAUAGGAGAAUUUCAAGUGUAAAUGGAUUUAAGCACCAACUUUAAGGAGAGCCCUGUCCACAAAGAAAAAUGAUUACCCAUUAAUUUUUAGACCUAUAAUCUUAAAAUGUCUCAAAAUGUCAUACAGGCAAACACAUCACAGCCAGGAUAAAUCUUUCUAGUCUUCUUACUUUUUUAAAACAGCAAAGUUAUACCUUACAUGAUAGCUUCAAAAAAGCACAAUUAUCCUAUGUUUUGCACCAUAUAUUUAUCAGUAAUCCGUUCUGUGUGCAACUUUAAGAUAAAAGCUUGCAGCUACUCCACUGCUUGCUUUUCCAAGUCACUUAAAAAUGGAAAAAUUGCAGCUGGAGAGGCUGGCCAGUAGAGGCCUCUCUAGAUUUGCCUUAUGAUUAAGAACUCUGACUGCCUGGAAUCAGUCGCAGUGAGGAAAAGUACUUGAAAAGAUUCUGUGGCGUGGAGGGGGAAAGAUCACUUUUUAAUGCCCUUUUAAGUUGCAAGAUGUUGAUUAAUGUUGCCCUUUACAUUAAUGAUGUUUCAAGUAAAAGAAAACAAAUUUAAAAUGGAUAAAUUCUAUUGAGGAUGCAUUAAUUAAACAGAGACUUUACCAUAUGCUGUGGCUGGAGUGCUUGCUGGCCUUUCUGUUGUUGUUACCUGUGUAAAAUCCACCCCAUCCUCUACAUGAAUGCCCAAGCUGAAUAGCCAUUUGAAUGCAAGCUUUAGUUUGAUUCGCCAUACAAGGGGUACUGUGUCACUGUGUUUUCUUUCUAGGAGUCACUAAGUGAUUUCUAUAUCUGUUGUCAUGGUGAUAUAGCAAAGCAGGGGAAAAUGGGGGCAACUCCAGGCUUUCUCUACACCCUCUGCACUAAGAACUAAGAUGUUGUUAGCAGGCCUAUAAAACAUUGGGCUUUAUCUGGGCCUUCUUUUUGUUCUCUGAUUGUCAAUAAAACUCAUUUUAAGGGUAACAAGGACAUCUAAAUGUCAUCUGUCACAGUGUUAGAGAGAUUAAGUUUGUUUAGGAACUUGUGCUGGACAAAAGGCCACUAUUUGUUCAGCAGAUACAAAGCGGUGUUGGCCAUCAGGAAUCGUGAUUUAGAAGGAGGCUGCAUGGAGCAUCCAGGGAAGAUCAGCUCAGUUGCAGGUGAUAGUAAGAGGCUCCUUGACAUGACAGCAUUUAAAACACUACCAAAACAAAUAGGGGUUUGAGUUAGAGCGGGUUUAUCAGGGUUUUGUUCUCUUGGGCUGGAUAUUUUUUUUUUUGUUGCUUAUCAGCUUUGUAGACCGGAUGUUACUGGAGUGGCUGCACAGACCUGAGGGAAGAAAACAGCCAUUGACAGCGGAUGGCCUGUUUAAAAACAUGACACACACACCUGAUAGGCCUUGAAUGAAUAAAAAUAGAAGAGGGAAAGGAGGUUUUCCAUGGAAAAUCCAACAAUAAUAGGUGCUGCAUUAACUCAGCAUUUACUUAAUAAUGAGGCUAAAUGGAAAGUACAGAUUAAUGAAGACAUUGGUGUUAUUAAAAUCAAAUCCUGCGGUUCAUAUGCUUUUCUUAAUAAUGAACAUUGUGGCUAUUGGAGAGGAAGAACAGGAUUUUUUCUAUUAAUUUGGCACACAUCCCAGAUCUCAUUCAACCAGAACCUAUCCUGUGCAAAAUGCAACCGAUGGCCUUUAUGUUCCACAGUCUUGCUGUUUAAUAUUUUUGUUAAUCCAAAAAAAAAAAAAACAAGCUUUUCUUUUUUCAAAUUAAAGAAAAGGAAAGGGUGAUCUUUGAGCCUAGACAAUAAUUAAAUAACACAGACCAGCCAUGUUGAUUUAAGCAGAAAGGUUGGUUGAAAAAUGUCCCUAGAAGGGAUAUGUGAUGCUGUUUAUUGCACUACAACUACAUUUAAUUCUGACAUUUGUGUUUUGGUAGUAAUACAAUGUAUAAUGCUGAUUGAUAUAUUUUGUGGCUUGUUGUAUAUUUAGUGAGAUCUAAAAGACAAUAUUCUGGACAUCAAUCUUGACAGGUAAAAAUAAUUUAGUUUCAUUUGUUAAGGUUGCUGUAGUUCCAACACUGAACAAGCAGCAUUUGAGAUGCAGCUGAACAAUGGAGUUGGCAGAGUUGAGCGCUCAUUUUGCCAUAUGCUCAAUGUGAAACAUUUGUUUGAUGUGGAAGGAAGCUGCAUAACCUGGUAGUGCGGCUUGUGCAUCAUGGCAGUAUCCACUCCUUACUCAAGUGUUUGUGUUAUUGACCCAGCCAUGUUCCCUGAGCAUCUGCAGAGUGAAUGGAGGAGGCAAACAGCGUGGCAUGGGAGAGGAAAUACAGCCCAUGGAAAGGGGUCCUGGUCCUCCCUGGUAGGCCAGAAGGGAAGAGCAUGACAGAAUGUUACUAUCCCAUUAAUUAGGUCUUUCCCUCUAACAGUUACCCCAGAUCAAGCCAUCAGCUUGGUUCUGCAUGUGGAUGAGAAUAACUUUGGCUGAAGAAGUAAGAGCUCCCAGAACAUGCUCUGUUGGCUCCUGUUUUCCUCAUAUCAUAAGGCUACAUUCACAGUGAAAUUAAAUGCAAGCACCACAGAAAAUCCCUAGGAGUAAACCUUGUCAAACACGGGAAGUAAAUCCCCUGCUCUGGGUGACAGUAAAAAUUAAAUAUGUGCAGCUAGGUGUAUAGCAAAACUCACUAUAAUAGCCUUUGGACACUGUUUAAAACAGCCCAGCCUCUAAAAGGUGUGUCGAGGUUGUUGUGUAAGGGACAGGAACACCCUCACUAUUUAUCCAUCCCUGCAGCAGAGGGCAGGCGGAGGGUGCCCGAUGGCAGAAGAUCAACAUUGCUCUGUUGUCCCUUCCAAUAUCACUAUGUCCAGGGAAUGUAAAAUUGUGGCAGGGAGCCUCUCUACCACCUACAGCUCCCUCCUGUGAAAGAGGCUUUCCCAUCCAAGCAAUUUACAUGGUUUUCUGACGUCUCUGUGACCAGGCUUUUGCAAAUUACUUAUUACCAGGAGGCCAGAACCCAGGCUUUAGUGUUCAGUAUUGGAAUCAGUUGGCAGAAAAAAAAAACAUAUUUCAAGGAUGUUGAGAGAAAAAAAAAAUGAGCAUUUUUUCCUUUGCAGACUUUUUUAUGAUCGUGACCUGCCACUCUUCUGUUUUCUAUUAUUUUAGGUAUGUAGUCUGCUAUUCAUUCAGCUCCUCUCCACAUUUUGCACUGACCUACAAGACCAGACUUGGCCCAGAAAUCAGGAGAUCCUUUCUCUCUCCUCCCUACUCUAUUUGCUUUGAAGGACAUGUCUCAGUUUCUUUCUCUCUAGGGCAAUUCUAGGGUUUAUGAAAUGCUCAUGGAACCUUGUUGGACCCUUGUGCAAAGGGCUGUUUGAUGAUGUGAAAUGUCUUCUUACUGUGGAGCAAGCUAAGACAAAGGAAUAAGUGACGCUUAAGACUCAGGUUUGAGCUCUUGGGUACUAAACAACAGCGUUUGGUCAAAUUCCUUUGAUGUCAGCUCUCUCCUCCAUUCCCAGGAGAGUUGCAAGGUUCCAGCAUCAUUCCAGGGAGCUGCUUCCCUGUUGUUGACAGAAAAAGGAGGUUGAAAUCCUGAACUCAUGGUUUCACUGCAUGUCUGGGGAGCUGGUCUAGCAGGCCAUGAGUCCAUUACACUCAGUGCUCCUUCCAGCCCUACCUCCUUCCUUCUACAGAUGCUACAGAGGAAACAGUUUUAGUGGGCAAACACAGUAAACCACCCCAGAAACCAGUCACAUAAGAAGCUGAAGGGCUGAAAGCAGGGUGUUUGAAGGCAUCUGAAUGGGAAGCUCAGAAUUGUUUUGCUUAGUUUUAGACACCCAGAGCUAUCAGGUGGCUGAUCUCUCCGGGUUUCCUCUCCUCCAGAAGGAAUGCUCAAGUGCUGCCAGCUUGCAGAGACAAUAUUACAAGAUCCUAUGAACUUGCUAGACCCACCCAAAUGCUCUGGGGUUGUCUCCUGCCUGAUGGGCUGCCACCAAGGCUCUAAAACCCUCGCACACAAAGGCACCACGGGACUCCCACCCUCGACGUGAGUGCUCUGCCUGCCUCUGGCGCUGCCUGUCAGACCCACUUCAGCUGGAAUCAAGAUUUAUGCAGUAGCCAUGUUUGUCAAAGUAUUUGGCACCAGUGACAUCAUCUUUGCUGAAAUGCCGGACAGCGUGAUGAGUCCCAGAUGUUAAUGCACACCAAAAGCUGAGAAAGAAUGAAAUAUAAAGAUCAACUGUAACAGCUAUGGAGGACUGUACUCAGUUUACAUCUGAUGAUGAAUGAUGCAUGAAGAAUAUGGGAUUUUUUCAAGGGUUCCUAAAGCUAAAGGUAAGGCAUGAAAAUCCACUGAAGCUGACUUGGGAAGUCUACACAUUGCUGCCUUCAUAGAAUUCUGUAUUCUGGAAGCAUGGAAAACUCCCUGAUGCUUGAGAUGUGUGUGGACUCUCAUGGAACAUGAUAUGUGAUUAUAAUCUAAUAUGUGUAUCAGGGAGCUGGAGAGUUCAUUGUCUUUUCAAGUAAAUGUAUCAGCAAAGUCCCCAGAACUAAUUUCUGGAAGCAGUAAGGAAAGCUGACAGAGCAUAGCAAAGCUGGAGACUUUUUCUUGUUGCUCAGCAGACUGUGUUGAGUGGCUGGGCUCAGCAGAGCAUUGCACACAGUCAGUCAGUAAAAAUUGUUGGCAUCACCUGAAGAUUACUGUUAUCUCUGGAAGACUGCCUGUCAUGUGGGUAGCUUUCACGCACAAUGUGACGCGUGGUAUGAAGCAAGUUCUGUGUGUUUUCAGCAAGAAUGCAAACCCAAGAGCUGCAGAACAUAUCUGUGCAGAAAUAGCCAAGGGGUAACAAAACAUUGCCUCCUGGUGCCCCAAAAUGUGUUUCCACUGGAGCUUCUGCAAAUGCUCCUUAUCCUCACCUCACUGCUGGCUUCACACUGCUUUGAGUCAGGUUCUAUCCAGCUGGCGUUGAAAAGGCUGAGUCUACCUUUCAAUUUUAGCUUGGAUCAGAUAGGAACUUCUAAAGUAGGUCUUGCGAUCAUUUCCAUCAUUUAUGGUUUUGCUCGUGUUGAGGAACUGUCUCAAGUGCAUGAACUGGAAUUUGUUUCGAAUCAAAGUGAACCAACUACAUCUGAUGCACUCCAGAGAGAAAUAGGUACUUGGUCUGUGGGGUCAAACAAAAGAUAGUCCAAAGUAAAAAGAAAUUAAUUAAUUAAAAUUUCUUGCAAUGUACCUUUAUGGUCCUUACUGUCAACUGUUUUGUUCUAAAAAUUUUCCUCUGGUCUUCACUGUUUGUCAGUGUGGAUGUGGCCUUAAGGCUCAGCUGAGCUUUAUUUUCAGUGUAGAAAGAUCUUUCUGAUGGUUUCAGAAAUUGUUCAGUCUAUCUGUGGCUCAUGGUCUUAAAGUGAAAUGGGGAAGAUAACACUUAACCAUCUUUAUCAAACAGCAUUCACCUCGAUGAAAGCUCAAGCAAGUCCAAAGUGUAAUAAUAUUUUAAUUGUUACUGCAUCUCCAGGAUCCUCCUACAAUUCUCUGUACUAUAUACAUAUAUUUUAAAAAUGCUAAUCUGAACCGUAAAAAAAUCCAAAAAACUUAUGGCAGUGCACAUAAUCAAGUCUUCUUAAUAUAAGCUCUGCUUGGUUUCCCAUAUGAUUUUUAGUGCCUGGUAAUUGUUUAUGGAUCAGUUUCCACUGAAAUGCUGCUGAUGUGUGUACUUAGAAAGGUGAAGAACAGCAUCUUCUCUUGGGAUAGCAGACAGUUGCUAAAUAAAUCUCUCCUAGGUAGGUGCACUGUCACCCUAAAUGAGGCAUAAAUAAAGAAUAAAAUUUUAGAAAUAAUGAUCUUAGCUAGGUCAGUUUGGUGUUGUGAAUGUUUAGUGAGAAAGCAAAAACAUGAAAACAAAAACAUGCAGUGUUUUGUUUCAGCUGUUUUAAUAAUGCUCAAAUUUUUUCAGUGAGAAUUUCAGGCCAGAUGGAUUGUUUUCAUUGAAAUUAAAAAAUAAAAUAUUAUUAUCCAAAUUAAAAUCAAUUUAGUUUGUUUUUUUCCUCUUUUUGAAAAGACAGAGGUACUUAGUACACAACAUAGGAAUUGCUUAAUACACUGGGAUAUCAAGCCAUUUUUGUGGAAUUGCAAGAAAACAUGAUAAAAUACAAUUUGCUAUUACUGUUUUUGGCAGUACUUUGAACAGGUGAAAGAUGCAUUCCUUAUUAUUCAGCUAUAUUUUGCUUUCUGUGUUAAUAUAUGACAAAUAUGCAACCAGUUUUAUAAGUCCUUGAAAGAUUUGAGAUUGCCUUCAGUAUUUUAUAAUUAAGGUUGAGCCAUCCUAAGUUCCAGCAUGUGUUCUCAUUGGCAGUAUGAUGUUAAUAAAUCAUCAGAGCCCCAUUGAUCGACUGGCUUAUUUAACACUGUACAAACAGCAAGAAUUUACACUGGGCCACAAGCCCCAAUCUUUGCAAUUAGGAUAGUUAAUUAUUUCACACUGACACAUUUUUAAGUUCUCUCUAGCCACAGAGUUAAUACAAGAAAUAUUUAGAAGAGGUUUUUGGGCAAAGAAAAUGUUGGGUCAGGUCUGGUCCCAGAUCGAGGAGGUGAGACCCUGACUGCUAGCUCUAUUCAGAGCCUCAGCUUCUACACCUGGGGGUGUAGAAAAAAUGGGGGAAAUUAUAUUGGGCCUUAUGAUGUGGUUACAGAUUGACUGGGUCCCAUUCAUUUCAACCCAUUUUCUACUCCUGCUGUAGGAUAGCAUUUCUCAAGUGCUGCAAUCUUUAAGCAAUUAUCUUAGACUUCAGUCUGACUUGGCUCAUUACAUGUUUCUCUGCUCUCCAUUCCCUGCUCAUCUUUCUUUGAUGUUGCAUUUUUAUACAUUACUUUCCCCACAUGCACUUGUAGGAUUCAGCCUGUAUUGGGCUUAUUAAAACUUUCACUAUCUUCAUAAUGAACUGGCUCCGUUUUCUCAUUUCAUGUAAUGAAAAGAAACCACUGUCAAAUAGCAAACAUUAAUGCCACAAAUUUCUUCAUCUCACUAAACAGAAACACUUAGAUCUUCACCUGAUAAAUUUAGUGCAAUUUGAUCUAACUCUGCCUCCUUCAAAACACCAGCCUGGUAUCUAAAUUAGGUCUUAGAUUAGAACUGCCAUCAAGACUCUUUCCUCUAGGGAAAACCAGAAAUAUUUGGAAAAUAAUUCAGCUCAUACGAGGCAAAUCAUUAAAUACAAGGUGAAGGUAUGUGUACAUUCUCCAUGGAGCAGACCUCUGGAUUCCUGACUUCACAUCCUUUGCAGGAGGAACAUCCACAUGUGUCAUAUUCUUCAGCCUGCCAAAAAGGUAAUGCAGAGAAGAUAAGAAAAAGGGGACUGAUCAUGACUGCCAUGGAGAUGAGCAAGUGCCCAUUAUUUUUUCUGAUACCAGAAGAGUGGGGAUUAAAUAAGACACAGCCUCGAAAGGAACCACAAUGGUUCUGCACAGAGCAAGUCUGCAUGCUGUGAUUAUUGAUCCUUUAUGGGGCAGGUCAGGAGGCAACUGGAGAAGUUUGUUAAAGAGAAGUCCAGCAAGGUCUGCUAGAGGGAAGCCUCUAAGCUGCAAAUUUUUGGAGGCUGGCAAAUUUUUCUGGCUAAGUAUUGCUAAAUAUUUGUUCCUUGCUUGUAUUACUUCCCAGGCAUUCCCGUGGUCACAGUUAAGGCCAACAGGGCUGAGCACAUCUUGCAGAAGCAAGAAGAAUAUUAAUAUCAUAUUUUAUGAUAUUCAGUGACUCAGCUGGCUGCCUUCACCUGGUAGAGGGGAUCUGUGUCUGUGUUCUCAAAGUGUGGUUAUGGGUUCUCUGUGGAGGAAGGGCUGUUCAGACCUACCCAUGGGCCUGCUCUGACAGCCAAGUUGCACCUAUGCAAGAGCAUUUGUUAAAAUUAAAUUUCUAAUACAGCAUUAAACGGAGUUUGAAAUGAAUGAGCCGAUAGAAAUGCUAUCCGGAUGAUCACAUUUCAGUUCAGCAAGACUGGAUUUCUUUUCAUUUGAGGGAGCUCUGAUCUAAUUUUGUGUCUUCCCACCAGCUUUUUAUUUCUCCCAGUCGGCAGCGUACUGGGCUACAUUCUGGUAAAACACACAAAUACUUUCUAACUGCAAACCAUCGUGUUUCAGUGGUCUCAGCUUUUCAGAUUGUUAUCUGCAACUGUUAUUACUAUGCUAUUGUAACCACCACUUUUUUCCAGAUUGAAUGUGCUGCUAUUUGAACUCUGAUCCCACAGAUAGAGUGUGAGCAGCGCCUUUAGUGGGAUGGCAAAUGCUGUCUGCUAAACCAUGGCCAUAAAAUGGACAUUGUUUCUUUGUAUAUGUUGAUCAGUGGGGAAAAAAAAAUAAGCUCUGUUUUUUUUUAUUAAGGGAUGAAUUAUGUGAAUUAAAGUAUUUAACCAUUUUAAAGUAUGGAGUGUGGAUGUGCUAAGUUGUUUGUGGGAUUGAAUUUCUAAUAACUUUCUUAAUUGGAGGUUGAAUUCAGGUCCAAAUGGGCAGAUCUUAAUAACCAUAUAAACCAGUAAUCACACCACUAGGCAGAUCUUGAUGUGUCUUCAAUAAUUAAUCCAGGCAGAUAUC